rnacentral:rRNA from 1 species
UGGGGAAUAUUGCACAAUGGGCGCAAGCCUGAUCCAGCCAUGCCGCGUGAGUGAUGAAGGCCUUCGGGUUGUAAAGCUCUUUUGGCGGGGACGAUGAUGACGGUACCCGCAGAAUAAGCCCCGGCUAACUUCGUGCCAGCAGCCGCGGUAAGACGAAGGGGGCUAGCGUUGUUCGGAAUUACUGGGCGUAAAGCGAGUGUAGGCGGUUGCCGUAGUCAGGUGUGAAAGCCUUGAGCUCAACUCAAGAAAUGCACUUGAUACUGGGUGACUAGAGGACCGGAGAGGAUAGUGGAAUUCCCAGUGUAGUGGUGAAAUACGUAGAGAUUGGGAAGAACACCAGUGGCGAAGGCGGCUAUCUGGACGGUUACUGACGCUAAGACUCGAAAGCGUGGGGAGCAAACAGGAUUAGAUACCCUGGUAGUCCACGCCGUAAACGAUGGGUGCUAGACGUUGGCGAGCUUGCUCGUCAGUGUCGCAGCUAACGCGUUAAGCACCCCGCCUGGGGAGUACGGCCGCAAGGGUUGAAACUCAAAUGAAUUGACGGGGGUCAUAGCUGUUUCCU